rnacentral:lncRNA from 1 species
UAAAAUAUUCCUAAAAGUUAUAUUCUGAAGAUAAAUAAAAUGAUAAUGGAUUCAAUAAUAUAUUAAUAAUAUAGUCAAGAAUUUUUGAAUGAAAUGUUUUAUAAAAUAUCAAGUAUAUAUUUUAUUAACUUCAAAAUGUCUUCUUUAUCCAGUGAAUGUUUCAACGAUACUCAGCCUUGCCGUGAAUGCCUGCCCACCGCUAUAGCUUUUCUUCACAUAUUCAGUUGUUUUUUACUCCUUUAUUCUUAUUCACUAGCUUUAUUCUUCGUUUUGCUAUCCUGUCUCACUUUUCUAGAUUUUUAAUUUCUAUUUUUUUUUUUCUGCACAUAAUUCUUCCAGUAGAAAGACUAUGGUUUUUAUAUUUUUCUAUUUCUUUAAUUACUCUGUGCUUUAACUAGUAUACUUCUAUAGUCUUUAGUCAAGCGAUUCUCAUUAUGUCAAAAUUUUUUUUUAAUUCA